UACGUAAAAGACUAGUGUUAUUCAUCUUUAGUAGGUUUAAAGGGUACCUAGACGGUAUAAUUAGUCUUAAACAAGAAACGGUUAUGCUAGAGUUACUAUAUGAGAAGGGGAGUAUUUAUGGAGUAGAGUUGAAAUUCUUUGAUCCCAUAACGACUGGUAGCGGCGAAAGCAACCUUUUAUCUAAUAACUGACGUUGAGGGACGAAGGCCCGGGUCACGAACAGG
rnacentral:rRNA from 1 species